AGUGAACGCUGGCGGUAGGCCUAACACAUGCAAGUCGAACGGCAGCACAGUAAGAGCUUGCUCUUACGGGUGGCGAGUGGCGGACGGGUGAGGAAUACAUCGGAAUCUACUUUUUCGUGGGGGAUAACGUAGGGAAACUUACGCUAAUACCGCAUACGACCUACGGGUGAAAGCAUGGGAUCUUCUGACCUUGCGCGAUUGAAUGAGCCGAUGUCGGAUUAGCUAGUUGGCGGGGUAAAGGCCCACCAAGGCGACGAUCCGUAGCUUGUCUGAGAGGAUGAUCAGCCAAACUGGAACUGAGACACGGUCCAGACAACUACGGGAGGCAGCAGUGGGGAAUAUUGGACAAUGGGCGGAAGCCUGAUACAGCAAUACCGCGUGGGUGAAGAAGGCCUUCGGGUUGUAAAGCCCUUUUGUUGGGAAAGAAAAGAAGCAGGUUAAUACCCCGCUGUUCUGACGGUACCCAAAGAAUAAGCACCGGCUAACUUCGUG
rnacentral:rRNA from 1 species